CUACGGAGGGUGCGAGCGUUAAUCGGAAUUACUGGGCGUAAAGGGUGCGUAGGCGGCUUGAUAAGUCGGACGUGAAAGCGCCGGGCUUAACCUGGGAAUUGCAUUCGAUACUGUCAGGCUAGAGUAUGUCAGAGGUUGGCGGAAUUCCUGGUGUAGCGGUGAAAUGCGUAGAUAUCAGGAGGAACACCAGUGGCGAAGGCGGCUAACUGGGGCAAUACUGACGCUGAGGCACGAAAGCGUGGGGAGCAAACAGGAUUAGAAACCCCAGUAGUCC
rnacentral:rRNA from 1 species